UCAAUAUGAACGGAUAGAGGUGCUGAUCAUCAAUGAUCAGUUAAAAGGGAAGCUGGUGUAAUUCCAGCGCGGUCCCGCCACUGUAAAUGACUUGUGUCUGCCGUAGCCACUGUAGCUUAAGCUAUGGGAAGGAGGCAAACGCUGAUCGUCAUAAGCCAGGAGACCUGCCUUGAUUCCAAGCACCAG
rnacentral:ncRNA from 1 species